rnacentral:rRNA from 1 species
UACGAAGGGGGCUAGCGUUGUUCGGAAUCACUGGGCGUAAAGCGCACGUAGGCGGAUUGUUAAGUCGGGGGUGAAAUCCUGAGGCUCAACCUCAGAACUGCCUUCGAUACUGGCAAUCUCGAGUCCGGAAGAGGUUGGUGGAACAGCUAGUGUAGAGGUGAAAAUUCGUAGAUAUUAGCUAGAACACCAGUGGCGAAGGCGGCCAACUGGUCCGGUACUGACGCUGAGGUGCGAAAGCGUGGGGAGCAAACAGG